rnacentral:lncRNA from 1 species
AUGAUCAAAGAUUUGGUGAGAGCAAAGGGGAAUAAAGCAGGAGAACAAAAAACAUCAUACAAAGGAUCAAUGACUACCUUCACUCAUCAAUAUGCAAGACACAAUCUUGGUAUGUGUUCAAAGGUUCCCUCCACAAUGCCCUGCAAAAACAGGCCCCUGAGAAAUAUGUCAAAAUACUUUAGGUUUUCUUUUUGUCUUCUUUUUCUCGACUUGUUCUGUCCAACAACUGAGCAAACAGAUGAGAGCUAAAGGCUUUUAGUGUUGGACAGGUUUUACAAUAAUGGGUUAUAUGUCUUCUGAUAGCCAAGGUGUAUAUUUGUAUAAACCCCUUUUGUUUUUAGUUUUUAAUUCUUUUUUAUUUAUUUAUUGCAUUUUAUGUUUUAAAUAUGUAUAGACCAAUAGGUAUGUAUAUAUG